GAUAAAUUAACUUUUAUAAGGUAAUAUCCAAUAAUAAAAUUGGUAUGUAUGUAUCUAUGUAUUUUGUAGUCAUCAAACUUUAUAGCAUAGAUCUACACUCUGUUACUUAACAAACUCUUUAUUUUGAAAUCCUUUAAUUUUCGACACGGAAGACAGAUUAAAAGGGCCCCCUAUACUUCUGUUUUCACUGUUAUGAGUGGAAAGACGUAAGGCAACAAUUUGGUAUAUAUUCCUUUUCCCUGUCUUUCAUACGAUAAAUUUUACACAAUAAAAGUUGAAAUAGCCACUACUAAACUAAUAGUUUCUUUUCUAUAAAAAAAAUUUCGCGCUGUAUCGAUUAAUGUAUUAAAAGAUACAUGAUUCUUUUUAAAAGAGCAAAGUUUAUCCUCACAUAAUUCACGCCCACAUACAGAAUAACUAACAUCACAAUAUGCCUGCCAUCAAUUCAUUCAACUUCUAUCUGAAACAUUUUUCGCUGCGGGUAAUAAUAGUAACGUAAACCGAUAUCUCAAUAUCAGGUGAGAUACUUGGUAUGUACGCGCGCGCGUGUGUCUACGUUAUAUUGUAUAUGUACAUAUAAGUUGCUUAAAUGUAAUAGUCAAAACUGAAGUCACUUAUUAUUAAUAAAAAUCUUAUGGUCAGAUACAUCUUUCGAUCAUAUUGAAUUACACCGUUGAUUGUAAAUUUCCAAGGAAAAUUCAGUUGAAUGUAACAAAUAUGCUCGAUUAAAUGAUUUUAUGUGAAGAGGCGUAUACGUUGAGUCAAUUAAACAGCUAUAGUUAUAAGUUAGUGCUCUGGAAACGUACGCAAUAAUAGUAAUAAUAAUAAUUCAAUGCUGAAAUAUUUACAUAUUACGUUAUUGGCUUAAUUGGAAUUCAAACCGUUGCAGACGAUUGAGAGACGUUAGUGAGGUCAAUAAGAUUUAUUGUCAAUAGUUACCUAUAAGUGUGCUUUUGCAACAGCAAGCAAUUUUUAUUCAAAUGAUAAUUAGAUAAUUGUCAACUGCAGUGUUGUAAAUUCUUUUGUUGUUUUUAUCAUGGAUUAUCAUGGAUUACAGUUGUUCACAUCAGUCUUGCUACAUAAAAUAUUGUUUCGAAAUAAAAUAUUAUCUUUUUCGAGUUUGUAAAUAUGCGUGUAUGGUAGAAUAAAUAUCACUGUGUUUCUCUUUAAUUUAAAUGUGAUAUGUGAAUGGGAUUUGAUAAUAUAAUGUUGAAAAUAGCGUUUCUGUUAUGGUACACAGGUUGCAAUUAUUUCUGUGGUCACCUAUACCUAAUCACCAAUACAUCUUUUAAUAAAUUUUAAUAAACAUUUGUCCUCCAGGCCUCCAAACAGGCCUCCUUCCCUAUCGUUAAUCAUUUUGUCAAUGAAGAUAAUACAAGAUAAUGAGAAAGGAAGAAUUUAUGCAAUUACACAUUUUUAUAGGUUUAAUUAGAGAAAUGAAUUUUAAACAGAAAUUCACUACUAAUCUUUUUGCAGAUAUCUCGGAAACCAAGACGGAUUGAACGACGAUAACAUGCAUAGGGAAAAGUUGUCCAGAAUGAUGACCUUCACAAUAUAUUUCAAGAUCAUCAAAAUCGGUGAGGUGCAGCUGAUUGCGAAUAAUUGACGAAUAAACUUACCACGUAUUUAGUGAAAGGAGGUACGUUCAAUCGAAGGUUAGUGAUUUUUUAAUUUCAUGGACUUUGCCUUAAGGGGAAUAACAGGUAAUAAUUUUAAAAACAAGAUUGAUCAUUCUUUUCCCAUACUGUUCAACAAUAUUUCAGAGAAUUACUUUUACUCAUAUGUAGCUCUAAGUUUACAUAUUAUAUCCUAUUAUAAGUAUUAUAGGAUGAUCGAAUUUUGAUUUGAAAUUGAUGAAUUAUUAUUUUCGCAUGGGAAAGUAUCUUUUAUCUGGAACUACUUUACAAACGUAGCUAAAAAUUGAAUAAUUGCACAAAAAAUAGCAAUUUGUUUCAGUUAUCUGUACGAUUCUCUCUCUCUCUCUCUCUCUCUCUCUCUCUCUCUUCAAUAUGUUCACAGAUAACCGUUUUAUAACACGAAAAUUUAGUUGAAAAUAUCAUGUUGUAUCAAAGGAAUGUUGUGCCUUUAAAAUACUGUUGUACGGGAAGAGAAGGUGAAGUUGUAGAAAAUCUACUUCCUCUCAGAUUUCGUUAGAUGUAUCAAUCAAUAUCAAUGUCCAGGAUGUAUGAAAAAUAAAUGUGACGAUUAUCAAAGCGAGAUUGUACACUGUCUCUGGCUCGGUAGAGA